UUAUGGACUAAUAUCACCUAUUCUAGUGUAUAGGAGUGUUUAUUGAGGUUGUUUAUGGACUAAUAUCUCCUAUUCUAGUGUAUAGGAGUGUUUAUUGAGGUUGAGUUUAAGGACUAAUAUCUCCUAUUCUAGUGUAUAGGAGUGUUUAUUGAGGUUGAGUUUAUGGACUAAUAUCUCCUAUUCUAGUGUAUAGGACUGUUUAUUGAGGUUGUUUAUGGGCUAAUAUCUCCUAUUCUAGUGUAUAGGAGUGUUUAUUGAGGUGGUUUAUGGAUUAAUAUCUCCUAUUCUAAUGUAUAGGAGUGUUUAUUGAGGUUGUUUAUAGACUAAUAUCUCCUAUUCUAGCGUAUAGGAGUGAAUUUUGAGUUUUUGAGUUUUACUGCCUGAUAAAACUGGCCCAACUUUUUUCAGGACCCUCAGUGUGGAGAUGAAGGGUCGUGUGUGAUACGUGGCAGUGUGUAUUGUUGUUUAUGGUGGUGACAGUGAUGAAAGUGCGCUGAGGAGCCGCUGCGGAGCGGAUUAGGCUGAUUUAUUCGGAGACAGUGACGCUCCAGCGCGGGGCAUAUUGCAGCAAGUCCAGCUCACUGACUCCUGUCAGUGCUGUCAGCCCCUGUUAGCCAACUUGCUAACAACCUCGCCGCUGCUCACUCCAUCACGCUGCAGCUGAGCACUGAGAGAGAGAAAGACAGAUAGAAAUAAACUGUGGAUGAAUCAAAUAAGAAGAUGAGAAAGAAGAGAGGAGAAAAAAGACGGAGAAAAAAAAAAAGUAAUCCCGCGUUAUGCUCCUUUGCCAUCAGCAGCCGGAGUCCGAGAGAGCAUAAUUGUCCAUGCUUUCUGGGUGAGUGAAGUCGCUCUCUCCCCUCACCACUUCCACUUCCUGUGAUUCUGGCUAGCUGUUGUAUUAGGGCUGUGGAUCUGACACUUUGGACAUUUCCAUUGUUCAACUAUUUUGAGUUGGGUGAACAUUUGAGGCCACAUAUACAGGAGUUGGACAGUGAAACUGAAACACUUGUCAAUUUAGUGAGGGAGGAUUCAUGGCUCAAUUGGAGCAGCCUGGUGGUCAAUCUUCAUUAAUUGCACAUUGCACCAGUAAGAGCAGAGUGUGAAGGUUCAAUUAGCAGGGUAAGAGCACAGUU